ACAAACUUUGGUUUGUGGCUUUAUUUCAAGUUUUAGAUAUUUACUUUUCAGAAACAUGGACGCUUAGCCCUGUGGUUUGAACUUAAUAACAAACCAUAGUGCCAUGAGCCAAAUAUAAAAUAAUUUUUUAUAAAACAGCAGUUUCUCAAACAGUUACUUAGGCAGGCUCCAAAUAUGAGUCAAUUCUCUCAGGCUCCCAGGUUAAAAUCCCCAACUUAACAAAAAUGAAAAUGUUAAGGCUUAAAUAUUGACUAUCAGUUGUUACAGGUUUGGUUGCUUUAAUCAUCGACCUCUCUAAACACUUUCCUUCUUAAUUUAUGGACUCAGGAACUCGUUUUGGGCUAAACUGAGUUUUAAAAAAUAAGUCUAUUUUGUAAAUCUUGUUCAUGCCACGUUUCAAAGUGGUCUAUUGUCUCUGGUAAGAAAUUAGCUAUCGAGCUGUCUAUUACUAUUAGCCAUGUCUCGUCAUGUUUUGGGUUUUUUGGGGUGGGGGUUAGCCAAGAUGACUGCAACACUCAUCUUGAGGCUUCAGAACUGAAUUUCAGAAACAAAUGGGUGACGUCUAUCUUUUGUAAUGCCUGUGGCUUUGACUCACAGGCGGAUACAGCCUGUGGUUGCUAGCUAGCUUUUACUCUUCACUUGUGCUAAUUCCAGUCGCUGAACUGGACCUCUGCUGGAGCAUUUCCCCUUUUGUAGCAUUUUUAAAACAUUUAUCUGACAGUGAAUAUUACUCGGUGCGCUGUGAUUGUUCUAACAGACCAUUCCAGAAGCCUACGUGCCAGUUUUGGUGCAAUGUCUUUAGCAGCGGCUGAAUUUGACGUGUUCUUGCACAGGGGCCUAUAUGGCAGUAUUUCUUAAACUAUGGGUCUGGCCCUUAAUUGGAUCACAGGUCUGUUUCUGGUAGGUCCUCACACGUCAAGCACACCCGUUUGUUUUAAUCAGCUCAGGUCUCAAAGCAAGACUCAAUUUACAAAAUUUAUGCCUGAGCUGAAAAGGUUUACUAAACCUGGCUAUAAAAGUGCACUGUGUGUGAGUCCCCUGUCAGCCUAUACGGACUCCUGCGCUAUGGUGGCCAAGCCAAGGCCAGCGACUGGUAGAUCCACUGGGAAUGUAAUAACAGAUUAAUGUGGCAUGCCAGGCCCCAUGACCAGACGUGUUUGACGCUAAUGCUCCACUGUAUAUUAUCCAGCUUGCAGAAAUGUUGGAUGUGAGCGAUGGGAUCCAAGGACAGGGAUGUUUAGGUACUAAUUACCAAACAGCAAGGCACAAGUCUCGCUCCAUAUUUCCUUACUCCUGUGGAAACACUAGGCAGGCUCCAUUUAUUUUCUUUGACUGUUGUUUCUGGCAAGGCCGCGUCUCAGUAAACACCACUCGCCCACCAUUGUAAAUCCGACAGGCGCAGAUCUUUCAAGUUAGACUCCUUUGAGGAAAAAUGGAGACAGAUCGGAUGGCGGCGCUCGGGUUUUCCGUCUUAAUGAGAGAGUGGAGAAGAGGGAUGGCGUUUGAUCCCUGGCAUGGAAGCCUCUAUUUAAGCCUGUCAACGGUCAUCACUCUCUCUCCCCCCUUCUUUCUUUCUCUGUUAUGGAUAGAGAAACAGACCUGCACCACUGGAUUUGAUCAACUCAGUACUGCACACUUUAACCCUUUUUCAGAACCAGGAUCCAGUCUCCCCUCCAGCACCUUCACUAUCACCCAGAGAGACUUGCUCAGCCUUCCCCUUCCUGACAACCUGCAAGCGUGGAUGUUGAUUGAUCACCUUAGCUGGAAAAGAAAAGAAAAGGCAGAAGCAGAUCUGUGAAAAUAUUAUUUUAUUUGUAGAGCUUUGCAAUGAGAAAGCCUCUCAGUCAUCAUGCUCCAGUUUCAUAUCAUGUGUUUGUCCAAACCACACAAGAGCCUUAUGGUUCUUCAAGGAAGUCGCGCUAUAGUUGCAAGCCCGACAGCAAGCCAAAGACGAUAAGCCCAGAGACAAAUCUCUCUGUCCUCUGCUAGACAAUGAAACUUUUGAACUUUAACUUUUAGGCUGCGGAUGUUGAUGAAGUCCUCAGAGAGGAGGAAAUGUCUUUCUGAUGAAGGGCUGGAGGGCAGGGCUCCUGACCAUCGCGGACCUGGCCUGGAAGACGCUUUUCAUCGCAGCACUAAUGGCUCAAGCUAAUCAGGCCUGAUUGGGGCUGCUAAAUAAAUACUCUCUCCAUUUAUAAUAUCAUGCGUAACUUAAGACAAAAUCAAUACUCUAGACUGAACACUAAUAGCUUGAGGCAAAACAAACGUCCCAGCUCUGGCUGCAAUACAUUUUUCAGAAUGAAUCCAUCAGUGACAUUGGCAUGGAUUUCUCAUACUUCCAAAUAAAGGCACGUAUCUGUGGAGUUUUCAUAUUUCCGAAGGCUCAGAAUUGGUUUGAAACACAUUCACGCAUGCAAGCAGUUCAGAAACAAGCUUUGUUCUAAACUUUUAAUGCCCUUAUUAGGUACAUUUGUUCUUUUUAUCGAGCAUAUAUUUGAAUAAUAUAUAUAUUUUUUGCCUUUACAUCAAAUUUUCAGAAGCAUUAGAAAAUAAAAAGAAAAGAAAAACUACAGCAACACUCACAGUAAUGAACUGAAAAUGAAACUGCAGAGUGGAACAGUCAUAUUCAGCAAACAAUUAGCAUCAGUCAUCAAUCAUAGAUGAAUCAAGGUGUCUCCCCAGGAGCCAGAGCCCGAUAAUAAACACUGGAGUCAGACUAGACUUAUGUGGGCUCGGGAAUAAAUAAAGUGAACGACCUCGACAUCAGCAGCUAGUAAAAUGUUUGGCCGUGCGGUAGAGUAGGUAUGAAAGGGAGCUUUGUGUUAUGAGGAAUAAAUACAGACAGACACAAUCACAUUUGAGCGAAAAGAGUUAUGUCAGAAGUCUCACAGCAGCAACGCUGGAACCUGGCUUUGAAAUGCGAAUCACGUUAAAUGUGUUUGAUUUAUCUUCUGCUCCACUUCUGCUUUGCCGUGUCUCUGCCGAGGUGAUUGAAAUACCAUACACACUGUGCACCGAAUAGCUAAAGUCCAUCCACAUCUGGAGCUGAAACAAAGACAUCGGACUUGUUUAUUAUGACAGACAAGGAUCUCAGGAAGAAGACUCACAAAGGACAGUCGCGUGUUACGUUCAUGGGGGAUGUUUUCUUUAUGAUGUGUGUUGCUGGUUUAUUUUUCCUUGCGCUCAGGUCAGGCUACUUGGCCAGUCUCCUCGCCACGUCUUUGUAGGCGGUCUCGAUCUCAGUGUCAGCAGCGCAGGUGUUGGUGAAUUCGUCAUGCGUGAAGGCGUUGUUCAGGUAGCGCCACACCCCCGACAUUUCCGCCGGGAUGUCGUAGUUGCGGUAUUUCUUAGCGACAACCUAGGAGAGAAUGCAAGGCGAUAACUAAACUACCCCCGUUCAUUCAGACCCGAGCUGAUAUCUUCAGCACCCUCCACGAGCAAUACUCCUGUGUAUCGUCUGUGCUCUGCAUCCAAAAGGUAAGUCGGAACCACUUCCACUGCAAAACCAAUCAAGCAUGAAGUAAAUCAGCUCUGCAGGAACAGAACAUGCUGGUUGGAUUCAUUAGAUACUUUUCUCCAGUGGUGAGUGCUUAUCUGCCUGAUAUAUUAACCCACCUUAUAUAGGACCUGCUCUUAUUAAAAAUUGUAGUUUUAGUUUAAAACGAAAAACUUUUAAAGGGACUUUGUGUUCUUACAGUUUGUUGUGUCCUCCUGGACUAAAAGUGGGAUUUACCAGUAUAACCUUUAUCUAAAAAUAACUAGACAUAUGGAUACUAAAUGCCCCAAAUAACAAAUUCAAGAUUGUUUUCUUUCCUUAAUUAGGAAAAGGAAAAACUAUUAUUUUAAGUCUAAAAAUCUGAUUUUAAAAAUUGUUGCUGUGGAAAAAAAAUUAAGAGCAAACUUAACACAUCUUGGGCCCAGAGUUGGUUGACAUUUUCAAUCUUUUCCUUUUUUCCUUUUUACUUUCUUUUCAGAUCCUGCUGGUUUCCAGAAUAGAUUUACUUGUUUUAGUUUAGUUUUUAUUAGUUCCAGUGUUAGUUUUAGUCUUUUCUUUUAAUUAUUCAAGUAUUCCUGUGGCACAAAAUUGAAUACAAAUGCAACAUUUGUGGAGGGAGUUGGCUCGCAGUCAUGUAGACAUCCCGAGUCUCAUUUGGACUGCAGGCUCCUCAGGCAGGCUGCUGACAGAUUUGACCAUAUUGUUAACGAUUUUUGACUGUAUAUUUUUAUUUGACUUCAAUUCUUUUUCUUUUUUUUUAAAUGCACAUUGUUUCAAUUAGUUUUCAUUUAUUUAUAGUCUCUAGUUUCUGUUAUAAUUUAAACUAUAAUGUAUGUUGGCGUUUCGUUUUAGUUAACUGUAAUACUGCUUGGGACCUCCCCGGGUGUUACCAGACACCAAUUUAAGGCAAACACAUCAUCAUCAUCAUUAUCAUCAAGCACAUAUUAGGUUUAUUACCACAGCCUUUAUUACUCAAAUGCAGCAAAACACUGAAUUCAUUAUCAAAAUGGAGUUCAAAAUCCAUGUACUAAAUCUGGUUUUGAUAUAUCAAAGUGUUUCUUUAUCACUGACUUUAAUAGAGGAACACUUUCUAAAGAUCAAACAGCUUGAUAUGACAACUUCUGUGAAUCUUAUUGUAGAUCGGAAAACUUGUUUGGCCUGUGAAAAUGUAUGAAACUUUUUAACAAACUCCAAUAUUGCAGAAACUGACCUCAUAAGGUGGUUGGAACUUGGACAAACUGGCGUGUGCUUUAAAAGUUACUUGGAAAAACACACUUCUAACUUCAACAGAUAACGGGAUCUGGAUUGCUCAAGGUACUGAUAUGAAAAUCUCAUCUGAGAAUAAUAAGGGGCCUAUUGAAGGACCAGCGCAGCUGUAGAAUCACCACCACUAAUUACUGCCCCUCAAUAAUUUUCCUCUCAUGCCAUAUUU